GAAGGUGGCUAGCGUUGUUCGGAAUCACUGGGCUUAAAGAGCACGUAGGCGGCUUACCAAGCGUCUUGUGAAAUCCCUCGGCUCAACCGAGGAAUUGCUGGGCGAACUGGUAGGCUUGAGGUAGGUAGGGGCGCACGGAACUCUUGGUGGAGCGGUGGAAUGCGUAGAUAUCAAGAGGAACGCCGGUGGCGAAGGCGGUGCGCUGGGCCUAUCCUGACGCUGAGGUGCGAAAGCCAGGGGAGCGAACGGGGAUUAGAUACCCCGGUAGUCCUGGCCCUAAACGAUGUCCACUAGGUCGAAGGUUCUCUGACGGAGUUUCGGCCCGAAACAAAACGCGUUAAGUGGACCGCCUGGGGAGUACGGUCGCAAGGCUA
rnacentral:rRNA from 1 species